UACGGAGGUGGCAAGCGUUGCUCGGAAUCACUGGGCGUAAAGGGCGCGUAGGCGGCGCGGUAAGUCGGGUGUGAAAUCUCGGGGCUUAACUCCGAAACUGCAUUCGAUACUGCCGUGCUUGAGGACUGGAGAGGAGACUGGAAUUUACGGUGUAGCGGUGAAAUGCGCAGAUAUCGGGAGGAACACCAAUGGCGAAGGCAGCUCGCUGGGACGUUACUGACGCUGAGACGCGAAAGCGUGGGGAGCAAACAGG
rnacentral:rRNA from 1 species